UGUUAACUUGUCAUUCAGUUCUUCCUCUACAAUGGACCACACUGGCCGAAAUGACUGCCACCGUGAACCUGUAGUCCAUGGGCCUCCAGUCCCAUCUCCAUGGAUCCUGGGGAUACAUUUGUACUACCGACAAUU
rnacentral:snoRNA from 1 species